rnacentral:rRNA from 1 species
UACGGAGGAUGCGAGCGUUAUCCGGAUUUAUUGGGUUUAAAGGGUGCGCAGGCGGUGCGUUAAGUCAGCGGUGAAAUGUCCCGGCUCAACCGGGGCACUGCCGUUGAUACUGGCGUGCUUGAGUGCGGACGGCGCCGGCGGAAUGUGUCAUGUAGCGGUGAAAUGCUUAGAUAUGCCACAGAACACCGAUCGCGAAGGCAGCUGGCGAGGCCGUGACUGACGCUGAGGCACGAAAGCGUGGGGAU